CGGGGACAACAGCAAGGAAGGCCCGGCUACGGGGCCCGCGAGGGGCCAUUCCGACUGCCUCUGGGUGCCGGCGCCCUCGCGAGGCUGGGCUGCACCGGAAGUUGGGUAGCCGCGGCUGCAGCGCCGGCCGUGGAUUAUGAGACUCAGGAUUUGGAAAGCAAAACAAACAACGGAACAAACAAAAUGAGUAGAUUUUAGACCUCCAUGAAUGCUUCCAAAGUGAACAAAAAGAAGGUGAAAGGGGAGGAGACCAGGUGUCAAGGAUGGUUCCCAUGGCAACACACGGGGGAUGAGACCGGAGGUGGAGGACGUAUCUCCAAGAUGGCACACUCUGCUGACUGAACACUUAGGGAUCACCUGCCACAGAGCCUCAAGAGGAGAGAAAUUUGACACAAGAACACCAGCCCCUGCGGUGGCACUGGGGAGCCAGCACGUCCAUCACAUCUUCAUGGAACCUGGAGGGACACAUGGAGAAUGGGCAGCUUUCAUCUGAGAUGGCUGCAGAGGAGUCUGCUCCUAGGGACAAGCCAUUUUCGGAGGAACUUGAACCUCCUCUUUGGAAGAAACAGAAUUACUGCCAGCUUUCACAUGCCAGGAGCACGUUUCUGUCCAGAUUUCCAAACAUGCCUGCUGCAGUACAGCUCAAGCAGCCCAGUGCAUACCGACCACCUUCUCCCUCCCUGUCCCUGCACAGAUAACGACAGUUUGCAUUAGUGUGCUAUAUUUCCAGGAACUGAUGAACCAAUAUUGAUACAACUAGUAACUGAAGCCUGUUGUUUACACAAGUUCACUCCUUGUGCCAUACAGUUCAAUGGGUUUGACAAAUGAAAUGCAUAUCUUGGCAUCCAUCACUAUAGAAUCGUAAUAAUCUCACUGCCCUAAAACUCCCCUGUGUACCACUUCUUCCCUGCUUGGAAACCUCUGGCAACCAUUAAUCUUUUACUGUUUAUAUAGUUUUACCUUCUCCAGAAUGUCAUAGAAUUGGAAUAAUAAACUGUUUUCUAAAUGGGUUUUUUUAAACUUAACUGUAUGCAUUCAAAGUUCCUCCAUGUCUCCUCAUUUGGACAACUCAUUUGGUUUUUUUUAAUCAUUGAAUAUACUGUAUAGAUGUAUGGCAGUUUGUUUAUCACUUUGCCUAUUGAAAGUAAUUUGGUUGCUUCUCAUUUCUAGUGAUUAUGAAUAAAGCUGUUAUGAAUGUGUGCAUACAGGUUUUUGUGUGAACAUAGCUUUCAACUCAUUUGGGUACAUAUCUGUAAGCAUGAUUGCAGGAUGGAAUGGUAAGAGUAUCUUUAGUUUUGUAAGAAACUGACAAAUCAUCUUACAAAGUGGCUGUACCAUUUUGCAUCGCUAGCAGUGAUAAAUGAGAGGUCUCUCCUCAUCCUUGUUAAUGUUGUCAGUGCUUUAGUUGUUAGAUAUUCUCAUGGGUGUGUAGCAAUGGGUUACAUGUUUUUCUUUUCCUAGAAUUUUAAUUUGUAAUUCCUUAACAUGACAAUUAAAAUAUGCUUACUUUCCUUCUGUACAUUUUUUUUGGUGAGGUUUGUGUCUGAAUCUGGGGCCCACUUCAAAUGGGGUAGGUUGUUUUCACAUGCUUUAGGUUUAGGUGUUCUUUGUACAUUUGACAACUCUUUUAUCAGGUAUGUGCCUUUAAACAUUUUCUCUCAGUCUGUGGAUUGUCUUUUUCAUCCCCUUAAUGGAAUCUUUGCAGAUCAAAAUUUUUUAUUUUAAUGAGGUCCAAUUUGUCAACUUGUUCUUUCUCAGAUUGUGUUGUUAGUGUUGUAUUUUUAAAAGGUCAUUGCCAAAGUAAAGGACACUCAGAUCUACUCCUGUUGUUUUCUGUGGUUUUUUAUUUUUCAUUGAGA